rnacentral:miRNA from 1 species
AAUUAUGGUUCAAACAUUAAUCA